rnacentral:rRNA from 1 species
AUGAAUAUACGCACUGGGAAAAUAGAGUUCUUAGGCUAUUGGAUCCUGGAAGCCAUUUGCGGUUAUACCAAUGAAGAGGUGUAUUCCAGCCUCACUAUUGUCAGGUGUGUUGUCCAGGGUGUACUGAAGCACAAGAAGUUCAAAGCUACUCCUUUGUUUGUGAGGCAUACUGUUCUUGUCAAGCUUACGCAUGAAGAUGACGUGGCAUGCCUCCACAAACAAGUUUAUCAGUGGCAAGGCCACAAGGUUGUCUUCAUGAAGGUUCACAGGAUUGAGCUGCUGCGGGACGUCCUCGAUGAUGUUCAUGGCAAGGUCCGUCUUGUGUCCAGCCCAAAUUAG